rnacentral:rRNA from 1 species
AUUGAACGCUGGCGGCAGGCUUAACACAUGCAAGUCGAGCGGGGUGAUGGUGCUUGCACUAUCACUUAGCGGCGGACGGGUGAGUAAUGCUUAGGAAUCUGCCUAUUAGUGGGGGACAACAUCUCGAAAGGGAUGCUAAUACCGCAUACGUCCUACGAGAGAAAGCAGGGGAUCACUUGUGACCUUGCGCUAAUAGAUGAGCCUAAGUCGGAUUAGCUAGUUGGUGGGGUAAAGGCCUACCAAGGCGACGAUCUGUAGCGGGUCUGAGAGGAUGAUCCGCCACACUGGGACUGGGACACGGCCCAGACUCCUACGGGAGGCAGCAGUGGGGAAUAUUGGACAAUGGGGGGAACCCUGAUCCAGCCAUGCCGCGUGUGUGAAGAAGGCCUUAUGGUUGUAAAGCACUUUAAGCGAGGAGGAGGCUUACCUAGUUAAUACCUGGGAUAAGUGGACGUUACUCGCAGAAUAAGCACCGGCUAACUCUGUGCCAGCCGCCGCAGUAA